CAGUGCAUACAAACUUGAAAACUGACAAUAUUACAAAAAACAUACAGCAAUAUUUAAGCUAAACAUUUUAUUGAAGUUGACCUAAACAUGGUUUUUUAGGACUAAGUUUUUUAAGACACCAACAAUUUCACUGAUUGCAAUAAGCACUAAUACAAGACUUGCCAUAAAUCAAUCAUGCUGGCAAAAUAUGUAGCACAGGUAGAUGUAUUUUGCAUGACAAAGAUAGCGCAUGAAUCAUGAGGACAAGGAAGGAAGCAGACCAGGUGGUAACUAAACUGAACUCAGCGGCACACAUGCAACUGUAAAAGACACAUACAGAAAAAGCUGAGACACAUGCAAAAAGUAGAGACAUGAGGAAGGCUUCUUUUACUCAUCACAAGUCAUCCUAAGAGCAGAUUACGUAACGACUGUAAUUUACUCUCAGUAAAUGCAUUAAGUUACAUUAGGUGCCACCCAUUUGCAUGUCACUCAUAUAAAGUUCUUUUGAUUGUCCUUAUUGCGAUUUUU
rnacentral:lncRNA from 1 species